UUUUUUUUUUUUUUUUUUUUUAUUUGAUUGCAUUUGCAAUGCCCCAGUUUGACUGUUUUGCUGAUUCUCAUGAUACAGCUGAAUGAGCUCCUUUGGUGCUCAAGAAGGCGGGUAAUCUCGUCAGGAAUCCCCUUCAACAUCAUCUUCCUCUGCCUCAGAUACAAGGACUUCAAGAUUGGGAGAUGGCGUUGGAUCAUUAUGUUCAAU
rnacentral:lncRNA from 1 species